UUUUUCCAUGAAAUUAUUUUGAAAUUGGAUUUGUAUUGGUUAUUUUUUAACUGCUCUAUACUUUUAAGCACAAUUGAAGUUACCCUGGGUAUGCAUAUUUUUUUUCUCACAUAUUUAUUAAAAUAUCAAACCAUAAACAAUGCUCAUAUUGAGAAGCAACUUAAAAUUACAUGUAUAACAUCAUUGAAAUAUUGAUUGUGCCAUGAUGAUAUUUCUUGAAUAGAUGGGAGAAGUUAUUAUUUAUGUAUUUUUUUUCCCCGGGGAGGGGGGGGGGGGGGUAAAAAUCUUUUAGAUAAUUAUAAAUACAUAUACUUAUUCAGGUUAAUUACCUUUUAAUUAAAAAAUAUUCCUGUGCUCAGUCAGGGUUGAUACAUGUAUGUACAUUUAUCUUGAUUUAUUUGCCUUACAAAUACAUGUAUAAUGAUAUUAAUCUGUGAUAUUUCUAUGUGAACUGGUCCUCUCGUUGGACAAUGUACUAGUCAUGUAAUCACAGCAUUACUCCGCUUUAUAAUGUAAAUAAACAGUUUUGUUUUAAUAUUCAUGAAUUUUCAUUGUCAUUGAAUGUAUCUGUGUAUUGGAAAUAGAAAUAAUUGAUUAAUAAACAAGAAUAAAAGUU
rnacentral:misc_RNA from 1 species